rnacentral:lncRNA from 1 species
UACUGUCAAAGAGCUGAUAGAAACAUGCACCAUUAUCAUCUGGGUGGCUUCUGCUCUCCAUGCUGCAGUGAAUUUCGGGCAGUACCCUUAUGCAGGCUACCUCCCAAACCGCCCAACGAUAAGCCGCAGAUUCAUCCCUGAAGAAGGCACUCCUGAGUAUGAAGAACUCAAGUCCAAUCCUGAUAAGGCUUUCCUGAAAACAAUCACUGCCCAGCUGCAGACCCUUCUUGGCAUCUCCCUUAUUGAGGUCCUUUCCAGGCAUUCUUCCGAUGAGGUUUAUCUUGGACAGAGAGACACUCCUGAAUGGACCCUGGACACAACACCAUUGAAAGCUUUUGAGAAAUUCGGAAGGAAGCUGGCAGACAUUGAAGAAAUGAUCAUAGAUAGAAAUGGAAAUGAGAGAUUCAAGAACAGAGUUGGGCCUGUGAAGAUACCAUACACACUGCUCUACCCCACAAGCGAAGGUGGGCUUACUGGCAAAGGGAUUCCCAACAGUGUCUCCAUCUAAAUUUUCCUGGAAAAUCAUGAGCACACUGCUGAUCAAGAUGGCUUAAAUGCACAUUGCUAAUAUAGUAUACUGUAAUUUAUAAUACCUAUUUUUCGACUUUGUAGGAUUCAUAUUGAUGCAUAUAUUUAUAAUAAGGAAUUAUUUAUUGCUAGAAAAUUGGGAGCUUUUCACUUUUUUUAUGAUCUGUGCCACACUUAAUGUUAAAAGAUGAAGGUGAAGUAGCAAAACAGUUGAUCUGAAUGCGCAGCCAUUGAUAUCAGGAAUCAAAGUCAGAUGGUGCAAAUGCUCUCAAAACAUCCACCCUCCCACAAAAUUAUCUAUAAUUUACAUGUUAACAAGAACUCAAGAGUGAGUAAGAAACUAUGUUGAGAAAUACUUUCUGAAACCACUGAGGAAAGUGUCCAUUUGAAGAAGUGUGAGACUCUUACCUAAGAAGUGUCUGUAGAUUUGAAUAGUAACUGCCAAUAUCUCUAUCAAAUCUUUAUUAUUACAUGUAUUAGAUUUUGAUAUGAUGCUUGGAUAGUAUGCCUAUAAACAAAUGCAUCCCCGAGCUUCUUCUUUGUAUAUUCUUCUGCUCUCACAUUCUUGGCUUUCUUCUGCUUAGCUUUGUUGUUGUUGUUGAAGAAGAAGAGAUGUUUGUUCAAUUGUUAGUGCCAUUACUGGUAAAAAUGAUAAGAAGAAGACAAGGGAGCAGUUGUGCUGAUGAGAAGAAUGUGUUGGAUUUAAUGACUUCAAUACAUCGGCUCUGGACCGGGUUCAUGAGCUCUUAGGACAGGGAGUCUCUCUGCAGCUAGAAUUUUGACUCGUGUAGACAGACAUAGAAUCAAACUGAAUUUAUUGAUCAUUACAUAAUUGGAUUAAGAGCUAUAUAUUCUUCUUGUUGAUCAACAGUUAUCUUCAAGGGGUAGAAAAACAUAACUUCAUGUGUGACUGGUCAUGUUUAGCUUCUGGUCCACCAUUUCAUUGUUAGUUGUCACCUUCCAAAACUAAGUGAAGACUGGCAGUUGAUACAGUGAAAACUUCACAUGCUCGCACUUCACUCUUCACACUAGCUUAUCUACUACUCAUUUUCUACUUUGAUAUCAUCUUGGUUUUCAAGUCUUCUAAUGACUAGAUUGCAAUUUCAAGAGGAAGAAAAUCUUGCCUUUGAUGAAGCCUGUUUUCAGCCUUUUAAGUAUUAAGUUGUUUGUUUUUGUAAUAUUUUGUUUAUAUUAAAUAUUAAAAAAAUAAAGAAAAAGCAAAAUAUUUGAUUUUUUUUUUCUAUUUAGCCAAAAACUAAUAAUAAGUCAUGAAAAAAAUGGAAAAACAAACAAUGUAAAGUUUGAAAGCAAAUUACUUUCAGCAAAAGAUUAAAAAAACAAAUACCCUCGAAGUUCGACUUAAGUUGGCUUAACAUCGAUCUCAUGUAGACCGGGAUCCUUAGCUGGCCCAUGGCCCAUAUCCCAUGUCCUAAUUGGCAAUUUUUAUUGACUUUCUUACAUUCCUUGCACUAAGGUCAUGUUUGAAACGUUGGAAUAAAGAAUGGGAAGGGAAAAUCGAUUCUAUCUAUUAUAUUUUUCAUUCAUUCAUGUGUUCGGAUUGUUCUUAAGAACGAAAAUAAUAAAAAAAUUCACUAUUAUGGAAAUCAAAUGCUACUCUCAUUAGGAUUUUUAUUCCUCUUUUCUAAAUGCCAAACGUGUCUAAAUUGAAUAGAUUGAGUUAAAUUUGAGUUGGCAUGGCAGCACAUGUAUGUCCUUUAGGCUGAGUAGGUCAAGAAAAGCCAUCUCACAUUGUCUCACCAAGCAAUUGUGAGAUGAUAUCCUUACCCAUAUGUUCUAAUAGGAAUAAAAUAUUAUGAUCAUUGUGAUUUAUUACAUGACUAUCUACCAUUCUGAAUUGAUUGUUAGGAAGAGCACUUCCAACAACCAACUUCAUCACUUUGGUAUGGUCAAUUUGAAGGUCUUAUGGUUUGGAAAUUGGAAAUCCUAUAUAAAAAUUUUAUUUUUAAAAAUAAAAAAUAAAAAAUAAAUCAAAAUAGUUAUUUUAAAAAUAAAAAUCAACAUGAAGGUGGAAUAGUUCUCUUUCCUUAUAAUAGGUGGAAGGCAAGUAACACCCAAAAAUAAAUAUACAAGGAAAAUUAGUUACAUUUGAAAGCUACAUCAUUAAGUAAUUUGGUAGAAAUAUUAAUGAAAAGUAGGCAAUUCAUUCAUGUUUCAUCAAAUCAAGUGGAAAGCUGUAUGCAUUGUUGACUAAUUUGCUGGAAAUAUUAAUGAUGAUUGAUGUUGUUUACAUAGACAUGUGGUUGUAUUGAUGGUUUGUGUGAGACCAAACAUUUUUUGGGUAUUGCAUGAAUUUGUGUUGCACCUGCAUAGUUAUAUAAAUAGCAAUUCGGUAAAUGUUUGAACAAAAUAUGAUCGAAAAACCGUCACAACAAAACUUCUACAAUACAUCUCAUUGCGGCUUUUAUUAUAUAGUAGAGAUAUGAGUAAGAAUAAAUGACGAUUUCUAUGGCCUAUAAUAUUGAGAAAGCAAAUAAGAAAAUUAUGUGGUUCGUAAUUAUUAGGCUAUUAAAUAUUUUGUGCCCCUGCGACCAAAAUUAUAACCAUGGAUGUAAAUAAAAUAAAAUAAAAACAUAUUUUAAUAUAAUUUUAUUGUUUUUAAUCAUGUACAUGACUAUUUUACUAUCGCUCUCACUACAUUAUCGAAUUGGUAUUCAAUGAAAAGAGGAUUGAUCACAAUAUAAGUUGGUAUAAUUACUCAGUACCUAAUUUGUGUUCUAUUAUUUUAUACUUUAAUAUCUUUUUUUGUACUUUAAUCUCAUUUAUUUAUAUUUAUUUUAUUAAAUAUACCUUGAUAUCAUAUAUUUGUACUCUCAUUUAAUAUCCUAAAUUUUAUCAUAUAUCUUCAAUGAUCGAUUUUCAAUGAUUGAAUUAUGUGUUUAGAAGGUACUGAAUCGGUACUUACUAAUUUUCAUUAUUUUUAAAGCAAAAGGUAAAUUGACAUUUGGUAUGUAUGAUGUGCAAUCAUGCCUCAUAAAGCCAAAACAAAGCAAAGAAUAUAUAUAUAUAUAUAUAUAUAUAUAUAUAUGCCAAAGACAUGAGAAUAAAGCAUGAUUCCAAUUCCAAAAGGGUUGAGAGAUUUAAGACCCACUUUAUAGAGCAACCAUGUGAUAAAUACACCAAUUGAAAUAUAUAUAUAUAUAUAUAUAUAUAUAUAUAAUAUACAUAGUCCAUUCCUUCUUUUGGCCUUUAAUAAACCCUAGAUUCUCAUAUACCUUUUUUUUUUUUUUUAUUCUAGUUGUCAGUGAAAUAACAAUAACCCAUUAAAUGGAAAAUACAUAAUUCAUAAUAGAAAUCAUUUUUUUCGGUUUUCUAUCUUAUUUUGUUGAAAUUAGAAACUACCCAUUUUUUUUAUUAAAAAAAAGAAAAAAAGAAAAAAAAGAAAAAUCUGUCUCGACUGAAGUUGGUCAGUAUAGACUUGCAGCCAUGUGUAUGUUAUUAAUUCUAUUUUUUUUUUGAAGGCAUAGGAAAGUUUCUAAAUAGAAAAAGUGAAGCUUCUCAAAAACGUCAUAUAGCAUAUGUGCGUAAAAAAUACUUGCACCACCUGAGCUGCUUCUUCAUACAUACUUCUCCUUCAUCUCUCUGUCUAUCAUAUUCUUGGCUUUCUUUUGCUAUGUGGUUGUUAUUGUUGUUGAAGAUGAUGAUGAUGAUGAUGAAGAAGAAGCUUCUUUCAAUUGUUAGUGCCAUCACUGGGGAAAAUGAUAAGAAGAAGAUCGAGGGAACUAUUGUGUUGAUGAAGAAGAAUGUGUUGGAUUUUAAUGACUUCAAUGCACCGGUUCGGGACCGGGUUCAUGAGCUUUUUGGACAGGGAGUCUCUCUGCAGCUCGUCAGUGCUGUUCAUGGUGAUCCUGGUGAGUUUUUUUUUUUUUUUUUUUCCUUCAUGUUUUUGAUGAUGGGGUUGUUGAAGUUGGAGGAGAGGAGGUUGAUACCGUUUUGUGAGGGUGAGAUGGGUUCUGAAUUUUGAUGAUAGCAAUUGGAAAAAGAUGUGAUUUUUGGAAGAGGCCAAGAGGGGUUGUUAUUCUCAGAGAUGAGUCAAAUGACUUUCUUGACAUCUUCCAUUCAAGUGGCCAUUUUUCUAAGUGCUUUUGUUUUUUGUGUUUUGUGUUUUUUGUUUUGAUGCUUUUGUAGCAAAUGGGUUACAGGGGAAAAUUGGAAAACCAGCAUACUUGGAAGACUGGAUUAUCACAAUCACUUCUUUAACCGCGGGCGAGUCUGCAUUCAAGGUCACGUUCGACUGGGAUGAGGAGAUUGGAGAGCCAGGGGCAUUCAUAAUUAGAAACAAUCACCACAGUGAGUUUUACCUCAGGACUCUCACUCUUGAAGAUGUUCCUGGACGUGGCAGAAUUCACUUUGUUUGUAAUUCCUGGGUCUACCCUGCUCAGCACUACAAAACUGACCGUGUUUUCUUCACUAAUCAGGUAAGACUAAUUUGCUUGAUACUAGGAGAGUCUGCUGUGGCAUUGUGGCCCAUUGAGCUUAGGCAAGGAGAAUUGUCUGCUAAAGGAAUGUGUUUAUUUUAUCUGCUGCAGACAUAUCUUCCAAGUGAAACACCAGGGCCACUGCGCAAGUACAGAGAAGGGGAACUGGUGAAUCUGAGGGGAGAUGGAACAGGAAAGCUUAAGGAAUGGGAUCGAGUGUAUGACUAUGCUUACUAUAAUGAUUUGGGGAAUCCAGACAGGGAUCUCAAAUACGCCCGCCCUGUGCUGGGAGGAUCUGCAGAGUAUCCUUAUCCCAGGAGGGGAAGAACUGGUAGACCACCAUCUGAAAAAGGUAGAUAUUUGAUGCAAAAAUUCAUAUUGUUUUCUCAUGCUUUUAUCAUAAAAGGAUGAAUAUGAUUGAUUUCUGCUCUUCUUUUAAUUAACAGAUCCCAACACCGAGAGCAGAUUGCCACUUGUGAUGAGCUUAAACAUGUAUGUUCCAAGAGAUGAAAGAUUUGGUCACCUCAAGAUGUCAGACUUCCUGGCUUAUGCCCUGAAAUCCAUAGUUCAAUUCCUUCUCCCUGAGUUUGAGGCUCUAUGUGACAUCACCCACAAUGAGUUUGACAGCUUCCAAGAUGUAUUAGACCUCUACGAAGGAGGAAUCAAGGUCCCAGAGGGCCCUUUACUUGACAAAAUUAAGGACAACAUCCCUCUUGAGAUGCUCAAGGAACUUGUUCGUACUGAUGGGGAACAUCUCUUCAAGUUCCCAAUGCCCCAAGUCAUCAAAGGUACUGCAUACAUCUAACAUCUUGUAAUCUUUGAAGCCAGAUUUAUAUAUUUAUUUUUCGUAAAAUUGAUGACGUUUUUAUCAUGCUGGAGCAGAGGAUAAGUCUGCAUGGAGGACAGAUGAAGAAUUUGCAAGAGAAAUGCUGGCUGGACUCAACCCAGUUGUCAUCCGUCUACUCCAAGUAAACUACAGCUUCCUUUCAAAUAUUUUUAAAUGCUCUGUUUGGUUUCUGUGAAAAUGGAACUUGGAAAGGCUUCCAGACUUUGUUUUCUUUCCCUCCAUCUACUGUUCUAGCUCUUUUCUGAUAAUUAUUGGCUCUUUCUACUUUGUUUGCAGGAGUUUCCUCCAAAAAGCAAGCUGGAUCCUGAAAUUUAUGGCAACCAAAACAGUUCAAUAACCAAAGAACACAUAGAGAAUCACCUGGAUGACCUUACUAUAAAUGAGGUAACGCUCUUAGGUUCCCUUCUUUCAGACUAAAUUUUUCAAUGUCUGACAUGUUAAUUUUUUGCAUUGGAACACAAGCCAUAGUAACUGAAAAAUGGUGCUUUUUACUAGGCAAUGGAGAAGAAAAGGCUAUUCAUAUUAGAUCACCAUGAUGUUUUCAUGCAAUACCUGAGGAGGAUAAACACAACUUCCACGAAAACUUAUGCCUCAAGGACUCUCCUCUUCCUGAAAGACGACGGAACUUUGAAGCCGCUGGCGAUUGAAUUGAGCCUACCACAUCCUAGUGGGGAUAAAUUUGGAGCUGUCAACAAAGUAUAUACGCCAGCUGAAAAUGGUGUUGAAGGUUCCAUUUGGCAGCUGGCUAAAGCUUAUGCUGCUGUGAAUGACUCUGGCUAUCAUCAGCUCCUCAGCCACUGGUAUGUAAUAUCCCAAAGGAAAGUGAAUACAGUUUGGGCUUAAAUCUGAAGCGGGUUAUGAAUAUCUUUGAUGUUGGUUGCAGGUUGAAUACACAUGCUGCAAUUGAGCCAUUUGUGAUUGCAACCAACAGGCAGCUCAGCGUGCUUCAUCCAAUUCACAAGCUUUUGCAUCCUCACUUCCGUGAUACGAUGAAUAUAAAUGCAUUAGCUCGACAAAUCCUCAUCAAUGCUGGUGGAGUGGUGGAGAGCACAGUUUUUCCAUCAAAGUAUGCCAUGGAAAUGUCAUCUGUUGUUUACAAAGACUGGGUUCUUACUGAGCAAGCACUUCCUGCUGAUCUCAUCAAGAGGUAUAUAAAUACUGUUAGUGAUUGUUUUCUUUCCUGCUGUGCAAUGAAUCUAGUGAAAAUUGUGAUUUUCAUCUAACUGAUAUGCUGCAACUUGGGCACUCUUUCAGAGGAAUGGCGGUUGAGGAUUCAGAGGCCCCUCAUGGACUCCGCCUACUGAUAGAUGACUACCCCUAUGCUGUUGAUGGACUUGAGAUCUGGUCAGCUAUUGAGACAUGGGUGAAAGAGUAUUGCUCAUUCUACUACAAGACAGAUGAGAUGGUCCAGAAAGACUCUGAGCUUCAGUCCUGGUGGAAGGAAGUCAGGGAAGAGGGUCAUGGCGACAAGAAGGACGAGCCCUGGUGGCCUAAAAUGCAUACUGUCAAAGAGCUGAUAGAAACAUGCACCAUUAUCAUCUGGGUGGCUUCUGCUCUCCAUGCUGCAGUGAAUUUCGGGCAGUACCCUUAUGCAGGCUACCUCCCAAACCGCCCAACGAUAAGCCGCAGAUUCAUGCCUGAAGAAGGCACUCCUGAGUAUGAAGAACUCAAGUCCAAUCCUGAUAAGGCUUUCCUGAAAACAAUCACUGCCCAGCUGCAGACCCUUCUUGGCAUCUCCCUUAUUGAGAUUCUUUCCAGGCAUUCUUCCGAUGAGGUUUAUCUUGGACAGAGAGACACUCCUGAAUGGACCCUGGACACAACACCAUUGAAAGCUUUUGAGAAAUUCGGAAGGAAGCUGGCAGACAUUGAAGAAAGGAUCAUAGAUAGAAAUGGAAAUGAGAGAUUCAAGAACAGAGUUGGGCCUGUGAAGAUACCGUACACACUGCUCUACCCCACAAGCGAAGGUGGGAUUACUGGCAAAGGGAUUCCCAACAGUGUCUCCAUCUAAAUUUACGCCAAUGAUGCCAAGAAUCAAGUCAGAUGCUGUAAAUGCUCUGAAAACAUCCACCCUCCCACAAAUUUAUAUAUAAUUUACAUGUAGAGUGAGUAAGAAACCAUUUUGAGAAAUAAUUUCUGAAACCACUGAGGAAAGUGUCCAUUUGAAGAAGUGUGAGACUCUUACCUAAGAAGUGUCUUUAUAUUUGAAUAGUAACUGCCAAUGUCUGUGUUAAAUCUUUAUUAUUACAUGUAUUAGAUUUGGAUAUGAUGCAUGUAUGGUUUGCCUAAAAUAAAUGCAUCCCCGAGCUUCUUCUUCAUAUAUUCUUCUGCUCUCACACUCGUGGCUUUCUUCUGCUUUGCUUUGUUGUUGUUGAUGAAGAAGAGAUGUUUGUUCAAUUGUUAGUGCCAUUACUGGUAAAAAUGAUAAGAAGAGGACAAGGGAACAGUUGUGCUGAUGAAGAAGAAUGUGUUGGAUUUUAAUGACUUCAAUACAUCGGCUCUGAACCUGGUUCAUAAGCUCUUAGGACAGGGAGUCUCUCUGCAGCUCAUCAGUGAGAGCUAUUCGUGGUGAUCCUGGUGAAUGUUUUUAUGUUUCUUGUUGCUUUUUUGCAUGUUUUUGAUGAUGGGGUCGUUGAAGUUGGAAGAGAGUAAAAUGACACUGUUUUGUGAGGUGAGAUGUGUUUUGAACUUUGAUGAUGGGAAUUUGAAAAGGAUGUGCUUUGACGAGUCGAUGAGUUCGAUGUAUUUUUGAAGUGUUUAAAUAAAAACCGUUCUCUAUUUCACUUUGUUUUUAAAAACUGAAAACAGAGAAUAACGGUCAAACAAUAUUAUGAAUUUAGAAAAACAAUUCUCCAUUUUUAAAAACACAAAACUGAUUUUUAGUCACAUGGCGGAACAAGAUCUAAAAGAGCUAGAGAAAUGGUAAUCAGAUCCAGAACCGGACCAUCCAAAGCAGAACACUGCAAAGCAUCUGAGGGAGCCGUACCAGUAUUCUAUUCUGCAGCAGAACACAGCUUAGAAGUGAGUAGUUGGGAAAAUAAAUCACCAGUAAUCUUUACAAGUGCACACCCCAUCUUUGAAAUGGUGGAAACGAUUUGUAUCUCUCAAAACAAUCUCUCUCCUAGUGACCUUGGACACAAUCUUCACCCAGGAGUGGCAAUCUACACAAACAUGAAGAUUCUUUGUUAUCCUAAUUGGCAUCCCGGAGGCUGUAUUGAUGAGUGCAAACAUGGUUGCAAGCCAUACGUCCACAUUGCCCUCAUUUGAGAAAUUCGGAAGGAAGCUGGCAGACAUUGAAGAAAUGAUCAUAGAGAGAAAUGGAGAUGAGAGAUUCAAGAACAGAGUUGGGCCUUUGAAGAUACCAUACACACUGCUCUAUCCCACAAGCGAAGGCGGGCUUACUGGCAAAGGGAUUCCCAACAGUGUCUCCAUCUAAAUUUUCCUGGAAAAUCUUGUACACAGUGCUGAUUUCGAUGGCUGAAAUGCACAUUGCUACUAUAGUAUACUGUAAUUUAUAAUACCGAUUUUUCGACUUUGUAGCAUUCAUAUUCAUGCUUAUAUUUAAAAUAAAGAAGUAUUUAUUGCUAGAAAAUUGGAAGCUUAUCACUUUUUUUUAUGAUGUGUGCCGUACUUAAUGUUAAAAGAUGAAGGUGAAGUAGUAAAACAGUUGAUCCCAAUGCGCCGCCAUUGAUGUCAGGAAUCAAGUCAGAUGGUGCAAAUGCUAUGAAACAUCCAUCCUCCCACAAUAUUAUCUAUAAUUUACAUGUUAACGAGAACUCAAGAGUGAGUAAGAAACCAUUUUGAGAAAUACUUUCUGAAACCACUGAGGAAAGUGUCCAUUUGAAGUAGUGUGUGACUCUUACCUAAGGAGUGUCU